rnacentral:rRNA from 1 species
UACGGGGGGGGGCAAGCGUUGUUCGGAAUUACUGGGCGUAAAGGGCGCGUAGGCGGCCUUCUAAGUCGGACGUGAAAUCCCUCGGCUUAACCGAGGAACUGCGUCCGAUACUGAAAGGCUUGAAUCCGGGAGAGGGAUGUGGAAUUCCAGGUGUAGCGGUGAAAUGCGUAGAUAUCUGGAGGAACACCGGUGGCGAAGGCGGCAUCCUGGACCGGUAUUGACGCUGAGGCGCGAAAGCUAGGGGAGCAAACGGG